rnacentral:rRNA from 1 species
AUUGAACGCUGGCGGAAUGCUUUACACAUGCAAGUCGAACGGCAGCACGGACUUCGGUCUGGUGGCGAGUGGCGAACGGGUGAGUAAUACAUCGGAACGUGCCCAGUCGCGGGGGAUAACGUAGCGAAAGCUACGCUAAUACCGCAUACGAUCUACGGAUGAAAGCGGGGGAUCGCAAGACCUCGCGCGAUUGGAGCGGCCGAUGGCAGAUUAGGUAGUUGGUGGGGUAAAGGCUCACCAAGCCGACGAGCUGUAGCUGGUCUGAGAGGACGACCAGCCACACUGGGACUGAGACACGGCCCAGACUCCUACGGAAGGCAGCAGUGGGGAAUUUUGGACAAUGGGCGCAAGCCUGAGCCAGCCAUUCCGCGUGCAGGAUGAAGGCCCUCGGGUUGUAAACUGCUUUUGUACAGAACGAAAAGGCUCUGGUUAAUACCUGGGGCUCAUGACGGUACUGUAAGAAUAAGCACCGGCUAACUACGUGCCAGCAGCCGCCGUAAGAC